GAGGCAAUGAGAACACCCUGGCAGGGCAGCUGAGCUGGGUGGAUCCUUGUUCUGUCACCAAGCCUUUAAGUCAUAUGCUGACAUGUUACAGUCCUGCCUGGGACCCUGCCCACAAAUACUUAAGAUACACGACUUUGGGAAUCACCCAACUGAUGGAAAGAACCAGGAAAGGGGUCAGGAUCUGCACCUUGGCAAACUUUGAAGAACACCCAAUUUGAUGAAUGAAAACUCCUCACUUGUGCUCUGGUGGUGUUUUAGGACAAUGGGCCCCUCCUGGAUGCUCCAGUGAAGCCCCAUAUCACCUUUUUCCUUCCUGUUUGCCAUAGCUCCAGGUGUAGGGACAGAUCAGAAGAUUCUGGAAAAGGCAGAUCACCAAAGAACUCAAGAUGUACUGAUAUUUUGCCAGUUUCCUUCAUCAACAAC
rnacentral:lncRNA from 1 species